GACGAACGCUGGCGGCGUGCUUAACACAUGCAAGUCGAACGGAAAGGCCCUGCUUUUGUGGGGUGCUCGAGUGGCGAACGGGUGAGUAACACGUGAGUAACCUGCCCUUGACUUUGGGAUAACUUCAGGAAACUGGGGCUAAUACCGGAUAGGAGCUCCUGCUGCAUGGUGGGGGUUGGAAAGUUUCGGCGGCUGGGGAUGGACUCGCGGCUUAUCAGCUUGUUGGUGGGGUAGUGGCUUACCAAGGCUUUGACGGGUAGCCGGCCUGGGAGGGUGACCGGCCACAUUGGGACUGGGAUACGGCCCAGACUCCUACGGGAGGCAGAAGUGGGGAAUGUUGCGCAAUGGGCGGAAGCCUGAUGCAGCAACGCCGCGUGCGGGAUGACGGCCUUCGGGUUGUAAACCGCUUUCGCCUGUGACGAAGCGUGAGUGACGGUAAUGGGUAAAGAAGCACCGGCUAACUACGUG
rnacentral:rRNA from 1 species